rnacentral:rRNA from 1 species
UACGUAGGGGGCAAGCGUUGUCCGGAUUUAUUGGGCGUAAAGAGCGUGUAGGCGGUCAGGUAGGUCCGUUGUGAAAACUCGAGGCUCAACCUCGAGACGCCGAUGGAAACCAUCUGACUAGAGUCCGGAAGAGGAGAGUGGAAUUCCUGGUGUAGCGGUGAAAUGCGCAGAUAUCAGGAAGAACACCAAUGGCGAAAGCAGCUCUCGGGGACGGUACUGACGCUGAGACGCGAAAGCGUGGGGAGCGAACAGG